UACAGAGGGGGCAAGCGUUGUUCGGAAUUACUGGGCGUAAAGGGCGCGUAGGCGGCCCGCUAAGUCGAACGUGAAAUCCCCGGGCUCAACCCGGGAACUGCGUCCGAGACUGGCAGGCUCGAAUCCGGGAGAGGGAUGUGGAAUUCCAGGUGUAGCGGUGAAAUGCGUAGAUAUCUGGAGGAACACCGGUGGCGAAGGCGGCAUCCUGGACCGGUAUUGACGCUGAGGCGCGAAAGCCAGGGGAGCAAACGGG
rnacentral:rRNA from 1 species